rnacentral:rRNA from 1 species
AGUGAACGCUGGCGGUAGGCCUAACACAUGCAAGUCGAACGGCAGCACAGUAAGAGCUUGCUCUUACGGGUGGCGAGUGGCGGACGGGUGAGGAAUACAUCGGAAUCUACUUUUUCGUGGGGGAUAACGUAGGGAAACUUACGCUAAUACCGCAUACGACCUACGGGUGAAAGCAGGGGAUCUUCGGACCUUGCGCGAUUGAAUGAGCCGAUGUCGGAUUAGCUAGUUGGCGGGGUAAAGGCCCACCAAGGCGACGAUCCGUAGCUGGUCUGAGAGGAUGAUCAGCCACACUAGAACUGAGACACGGUCCAGACGCCUACGGGAGGCAGCAGUGAGGAAUAGUGGACAAUGGGCGCAAGCCUGCUCCAGCCAUACCGCGUGGGUGAAGAAGGCCUUCGGGUUGUAAAGCCCUUUUGUUGGGAAAGAAAAGCAGCAGGUUAAUACCCCGCUGUUCUGGCGGUACCCAAAGAAUAAGCACCGGCUAACUUCGUG